UGGGGGAGUAACGUAGGGAAACUUACGCUAAUACCGCAUACGACCUACGGUGAAGCAGGGGAGUCUUCGGACCUUGCGCGAUUGAAUGAGCCGAUGUCGGAUUAGCUAGUUGGCGGGGUAAAGGCCCACCAAGGCGACGAUCCGUAGCUGGUCUGAGAGGAUGAUCAGCCACACUGGAACUGAGACACGGUCCAGACUCCUACGGGAGGCAGCAGCC
rnacentral:rRNA from 1 species